UACAGAGGUCCCAAGCGUUGUUCGGAUUCACUGGGCGUAAAGGGUGCGUAGGUGGCCAGGUAAGUCUGAUGUGAAAUCUCGGAGCUCAACUCCGAAACUGCAUUGGAUACUAUCUGGCUGGAGGGUCGGAGGGGGGACUGGAAUUCUCGGUGUAGCAGUGAAAUGCGUAGAUAUCAGGAGGAACACCUGCGGUGUAGACGGCUUUCUGGACCAUUACUGACACUGAGACACGAAAGCGUGGGUAGCAAACAGG
rnacentral:rRNA from 1 species